UGGGAGACUGAUACACAGAUGGGGAUACAUUCUGCUCUGUUUGUCACCAAAUCUCCCUAGAAUAAUAAUGCUUUCUGAUGACCGGGGCGACGUGAGAGAAAUCGUCACGGACAGAUACGGAGCAAACGCAU